rnacentral:pre_miRNA from 1 species
UUAGCCGUCAAAAAGUUCUGUGAAAUGUUCAUUUUUAGAAUUCAAGAAAUCAUAUCACAGUCUUUUUGAUGUUCUAAA